rnacentral:rRNA from 1 species
GAUGAACGCUGGCGGCGUGCCUAAUACAUGCAAGUCGAGCGAACAGAUGAGGAGCUUGCUCCUCUGACGUUAGCGGCGGACGGGUGAGUAACACGUGGAUAACCUACCUAUAAGACUGGGAUAACUUCGGGAAACCGGAGCUAAUACCGGAUAAUAUAUUGAACCGCAUGGUUCAAUAGUGAAAGACGGUUUUGCUGUCACUUAUAGAUGGAUCCGCGCCGCAUUAGCUAGUUGGUAAGGUAACGGUUUACCAAGGCAACGAUGCGUAGCCGACCUGAGAGGGUGAUCGGCCACACUGGAACUGAGACACGGUCCAGACUCCUACGGGAGGCAGCAGUAGGGAAUCUUCCGCAAUGGGCGAAAGCCUGACGGAGCAACGCCGCGUGAGUGAUGAAGGUCUUCGGAUCGUAAAACUCUGUUAUUAGGGAAGAACAAAUGUGUAAGUAACUAUGCACGUCUUGACGGUACCUAAUCAGAAAGCCACGGCUAACUACGUG